rnacentral:misc_RNA from 1 species
UGUGUUGCUUACCCGUCCCGAUGGUAUUCAUCAGCCACGUUGCUCGUUUUCGUCUCGCGCCCUCGCGGGCCACGAGACGAACCAGUCGGUGCCUCGCGUGUUCCCUCUUGAGCCUUUGGCUUCUGCCUCGGCCCAUGCUAGGUAGCUCGUACUCUCGGAUGCUGAAAGUUAUGUGGGCAGAGGGUUCGAACCCCUUCAUCACAAGCCCGGGCCUAGCGCUCGUCGCUCAAACCGGAAGACGUCGCUCCUCGCCUUGGCCUUACUGAGCCUUCGGUUCCUGUAACGGCCAUGCGUUGCGGUGUCGUCUCGA